GACGAACGCUGGCGGCGUGCUUAACACAUGCAAGUCGAACGGAAAGGCCCUGUUUUUGUGGCUUGCUCGAGUGGCGAGUGGGUGAGACACAAGUGAGUAACCCGUCACUGCCUUUGGGAUAACUUAAGGAAGCGGGGGCUCAUAAUGGAUAGGCGCUCCUGCUGCUUGGUGUGGGUUGGAUAGUUUCGGCGGUUGGGGAUGGACUCGCGGCUUAUCAGCUUGUUGGUGGGGUAGUGGCUUACCAAGGCUUUGACGGCUAGCCGGCCUGAGCGGGUGACCGGCCACAUUGGGACUGAGAUACGGCCCAGACUCCUACGGGAGGCAGCAGUGGGGAAUAUUGCACAAUGGGCGGAAGCCUGAUGCAGCAACGCCGCGUGCGGGAUGACGGCCUUCGGGUUGUAAACCGCUUUCGCCUGUGACGAAGCGUGAGUGACGGUAAUGGGUAAAGAAGCACCGGCUAACUACGUG
rnacentral:rRNA from 1 species